CUUACUGGGUUAAAAUCUGAGACACUUCCUAUUUAUUUGAACAAUCCCCCACUAAGUUCAAUGCAGUUGUACUGAGACAAAACUACAGUGAGGACUGCUGAACAGAAAUGCUCACAAUUAUCAACUAAUUAUCCCAGGAAAUCUACUGCUGUAGGAGACACUGUUGCCCUUGAUCUCAUGAGACAGAAGGACCAGAACACUGAGAGCUGUGGCACUCCUUUCUAGCCUUGACCCCAGCUCUGGGAAGACUGCUGUUCCUCCUGAAAAGCCACUCCUGGAAGAGGACCAUAGUAACACAUCCUAGACUAUUUCAGCGGGGUAAAACACAGGGCAAGCUGCCCACAAAUACGCAUGGUUCAGCUGUCCCUUGCUAUCCUUUUGCUGGACUGCAUGCUAAUGCCCUGUGAUGUGCCAAAUGUGGAGAGAACCAGUUGCAUAUGCCAUGCUUUACUGGAGGGGAUGAAACCUCUGAAAAGCAGCAGGAAAGCCCUUGCAAAGAAAGUCUUGAGCUCGAAUCUGAUUGUCCAAGUCACAAGAAGAACUCCUCCACAUCCCUAGCAAAAGAUGCUGUGAGAAGAAGAUGGAGUACAAAUUUAAUUCAUCUGCUUUUUCUCUACGUGCCUUUGUGCCCCAGAUACCUCCAAAGGAAAGGAGAGGACAGUUCUGUGGAGCAGUUCUCUCUCUUCUUUGCUCAUGCUGUGAUUAGCAGACAUACCCCUGGGUGAGUGGUGAGGAACACUGAAACUUCUCUUUUUCUCUUAAUGAAAAAGUAGUCAAGGGAAUAUUUUGGACUCUAAUUGCUUCAGCAGUGAGGUGAAAGCAGAUUUUCUUGCAAACUCAGUUUCCCCAGUACAAGCAAUACAAGAAGGACUAAGUCCUUAAAAAAAAAAAAUUGGGUUGGGUUGAACUUAACAAAUGAGGAUGUGGUAUUUUCUGGCCAUAAAUUAGAACCUUCCAGCUCUCUGACAGGAAAGUGCGAGUCACUCUUCUGGAGGGCUGAGAGUGCACAGGGCCACUGACAUGGCUAUUCCUGAAUCCAGAGCUGCAGUACUACAGUAUUCAUGUCAUCAGUUUCUCACUAAGGACUAAGGGGCUGAAGUGUGUUUGAAUGAGCUCUUCUCUGCAUUUCUAUUCAUGUAUCCACAUUACUUUUCUACUAACCUACUUCUGCUAAGAGAUGUGCAGUGUUCUAUGAGGCUGAUGUCUGGCAUACAGCUUGUCGACUGCCAGUUUAAUCCCUUGUAAUAAUAACUGGCAAGGGUUUAGUGGCUGUCUUUCACCACCAUCCCCAUAUUUCUGUUUCCUUAGUUUUUUUGCAGCUUAUUUGACUGCUGGUCAGAUGAAACCCGAUGAAGUUUGGUUUAAUUUCACUGUUUUUAGCAGUGCUUCACCAGUUCAGACUGGUUGAGAAUUUUUUCUCAACAAUAUUCUUUGUACCAGGACUUCUUGUUUUGCAUACAAAACACAAACAAGUAAUGAGUUAUGUGGCUGUAUCAGUCCAGGCUAUGUGUAUAUGGCUCAGCAGACAGCUCCAAGCACUGGUUUUCCCAUUGGGUAUUGUGGUGGGGUGGGUGUACAACAUUUUAAAGACGCACAGAGUGUGCUUUGUAGACAGUCAUUCAGCUGUUACGCCACACAGAACAUCAAUGGGAUUUUGGAGAUUUGUUAAAUGUCUGUCUCUUAGUUGCCUGUGACCAGGGCAGGUAAGUAUGAGAGUCAGGUGUUUCACACUCCAAUUUCUAAACUUUAGCUAGUCUGCAAAUCCUGAUUUAUUCCCUCCCUGGCACAACUGCCUUGCUUGUUGUCAACAUUAAGAAUCAUUGUUCUAACCCUGAAUGUGUCAUGUGGUGGGUGUGAGAGCUUUGUGAUUUUGCAGGUUCAGCCUCUGGCAUCAGCGCUGCCUCCAUCACAGCAUCAUAGGACAACUUCAGUUCAUGCCAGGCACCAGCCUCGUUCUACCUUCUGACCUGUUCUAGCACUGGACAGCACUAUUCAGUAUAGCACUCAUGACUUGGUAUUCAUAAACCCUUUCCCUUGGGUUUUUUUCUAACAUACCUUUUCCUCGUGUUCUCCUACCAAUAUGACACACUCAUUGUAACUUCUAUGGAUGCAUUCAACCUUCUGGCUUCACUCAUCAUUCACCCCUGCUUCACCUGACACGCCUAUUAUUUUCCUACAGACAGGCAAUGUGUCUUAAAUUUACAGUUCCACAAGCUUUGAAUUUUGUUUGCUGGAUUGCUGAAAUUCUGUGUCACCUCUUCCACCACCCUUUAAAGGGAAAAAUACUCCCAUCAGAAACUACCCCUGGUGGUCGAUAUUUGGUGAUUUAAUUGGGAAUAAGGACAUUAUCAUAGUUAGAAGAUCAUAGAAGAUCAUGUGGCUUAGAGCUCAGAUACUGUAACAAAAGGGACUUUGGAAUAUGGCAAUAUUAAUAGGUUUCAGGGGGAAAAAAGAAUCCUAUGAUGAAAUCUGUUAUAAUGGGGGCACUAUCAGGAGAGAGGUGGUGGAAGCUUCCCAGUUAGGAAACUAUUAGCAGAAAUUCACAAUUUAAGAACUUAUCCUAGAUAAAGAUUGUAGAUCAGCAAGAAGAGUGAGAAGAUGAUGAAGUUUCCAAGUUUCUCACACUGUGAUCUGUUGGAACAUGAGUGUAAUACCUACUUCAUGCAUCCCUAGACAAAGCCAAACUAUCACCCAUGUAACAGACACUGAGCAGAGCAGAGGUUAGACAUUCUCCUCCUCUCUGUAAUGGGAUGUGGUUGGUGGAAGUGCACAGAUUAGCAGACAAAGCCGUGCCUAAUGUUAUUAGCUGAAUGCUUUCAUGGAGCUAUGGCAUUAUGGAACUUCAGCAGAAAUGUCUCACUGACCAACCUGAUGGUCUCACUAGGUUAACAGAUAAAGAAUUACUUUUAUUUUCAGCCCUACAUAACAAAUCAUGGGGGUUCAGGGCCCAGGCACUCUAAUAAUAGUGUUAGCAAAUAAAAUGUGCGUGUAAGUAUAUGUAUAUGUUGAUAUAUAGAGAUAUUCCAGAUGCAUUUAAUUGACAGUGUAGUGAAUGUUCUGAAGACCACAAUUAUUUACUGAAAUAAAGCACUAGGAAGAAUGA